rnacentral:rRNA from 1 species
GGAUUAGGCAUGCAAGUCGAGCGAGAAAGGGAUUCUUCGGAAGCCCGAGUAAAGCGGCGAAAGGGUGAGUAAUACAUGGAUAACCUACCCCUGAGAGGGGGAUAACACCUGGAAACGGGUGCUAAUACCCCAUAAGACCACGGGUUCACGGACCUGAGGUCAAAGAUGGCCUCUGUUUCAAGCUUUCGCUCAGGGAGGGGUUCAUGGCCUAUUAGCUAGUUGGUGGGGUAACGGCCUACCAAGGCUUUGAUGGGUAGCCGGGCUGAGAGGUUGUUCGGCCACACUGGGACUGAGACACUGCCCAGACUCCUCCGGGAGGCUGCAGUCGAGAAUCUUUCGCAAUGCGCGCAAGCGUGACGGAGUGACGCCGCGUGGACGAUGAAGGCCUUCGGGUUGUAAAGUCCAAUCGCAGGGGAAGAAAAGCAGGAGGGAAAUACCCUGCCUGUUAGACGUUACCCUGGUCGAAGCGCCGGCUAAACACGUGCCAGCAGCCGCGGUAAGACGUGUGGCGCAAGCGUUGUUCGGAAUCACUGGGCAUAAAGGGCGCGUAGGCGGUGUCGUAAGUCGGCUGUGAAAGCCCUCGGCUCAACCGAGGAAUUGCAUCCGAAACUGCGGCGCUAGAGUAUGGUAGGGGGGAGUGGAAUUCCUGGUGGAGCGGUGAAAUGCGUAGAUAUCAGGAGGAACGCCGGUGGCGAAGGCGACUCCCUGGCCCAUUACUGACGCUGAGUGCGCGAAAGCUAGGGGAGCAAACAGGAUUAGAUACCCUGGUAGUCCUAGCUGUAAACGAUGGGCACUAAGUAGAGGGGUUUU